CGGGACAACCCUCCGCGUUCAGGUUCAGUCUCGCGUCGCAGCUCGUGUCCCGCAGUCCGAGAAUCCGUUGAUUUCUUCAAGUAAUUGCUCACGCGUGUUUAACGCGCCUACAGUUUCGUUACGUGCUACGCGCUCUUAUCAGUGGAUUUAGGUACGAUAGCCGAAUUUUUGUGUCAAUACUGUGUUGUAUAUGGAAUAACUAAAGGUGUGAAUCGUGCGAGGUUUUCAUUUAAUCAUUGUUUAUCACCAAGUUCGCUACACUAUCAGUUUCAGUGAUAAGUGACGAAAAACUGGCGUCAGGAAUUACUAUUUAUUUGAACCCGGUGGAUACGAACACGUGAUCCUUCGAGGACAUUAACCGAGGCAAUUUUUCUCGAACGAGGAACCUGACGUUGAAGCGAAUCACCACAUUGAAGCCCGAGUAUGAAUCUCCCCCGAGUGGAAGUAAUAAAUAGCUGAAAAUUAUCCCCGUAACGGUAAUUUUUGUGACAAACGAUAAGCAGAAGGCAUCCGCUCUUAGAUUCAGACUCAUUAAGGGAGAAAUAAUUAUCGAGACCAGACUCGAGAGGCGCUGCUGUCGUUCCUUUUUUCUAAAAAGCGUUUUCCGCAGCACUCGUUAUGAAAGUUUCGCACUCCGACUCCGUAACCUUUUGACCAGAGAUUUUAUCUAAUUACUCGCUCCCUCUCUCCGAGGCUCUCCUCUUAGAAUCGGUGCAGUGCGUUGCCCUCGUCCUCAAAAUCCGAACCCGUUUGACAAAUUUUCAUCUGGGUGUGAAUAUUGCGCGGUGUGCGGGAAAAUGCUCGGGUGACCGUGUGAAUUAUCCUCGCGGAUCGGACCGAGUCGGUGAUUUUUAAUUUCCUGCCGAAAUCGUGCGUUCGGAAUGAGGUUAUGCCCGGGGGUGGAUUUUUUCCGCAGUCUGUGGAGGAUUACGCUGCUUCGUGAUUGAUGAUCCGCUCUGGUGUUGUGUGUCGCGUUGUGCGCGUUUCCGUGGCCCCCGUUCGAUUCGAAUGUUUGUGUUGUUAUCGUAACGUCUGCCCGUGCGCCAGCUCCACCAAAUGAGUUUGGAUAUGCUUUGGCUCUGCGGUCUCUUCCUCACCGCCUCAUUCUGCAUCACCGCUUCGUCACAAGGUAUGUAUGCUGCAGUUCUUUCCGAAUUAUUUUUCCUCGCCUGUACGUAUCUCCACUGUUGAUAAUCCAACUAUUGGUGAGUUCUCUUUUCUGUUAUAAUAAAUUUUUAAUCAAUCAAAUUUGUAACGUCAAUGAGGAUAUGAAUUGUGAAAGCAGACACGAUUUUUCUCUUUCUGCGGAUAUAUCUACCAAGAUAUUUUCUUUCAAAUUAGUCUUUGGAGCCCCACAGGAAUUUAAAAUACGUAGUGUGUACUCGAUUGUGAUUCUCAAGAAUGAGAGAGUGCAUAGUCACUCACAGUAGAAGAAACGCAAUUCGACAAGAUCGAUCACCUUAUUAAUUCGAAUCUAGUUCCAUUAAUUAAGCAAACAGCGCCCCCGAACAACCGCUGAAAAUCAUUGAUGCAGAUGUUUGGCUUUGCUCCAGUUUAAGUCCAGAAGAUUCGUGCAUCUCAUUAUGUUUAGUUCUGAAAGAAAUACGUGAAUCAGAAUACAUGCGUGAAAAAAACACAUUUGAAAAAGAAGAAAGAGAAAAAGUGAAAUGCAAUUUGUGCCUAAUGAUCCGAUGAAACCUAGUCAGGAGGGGACAUCAAAGGGACCUCAUAAAUUAUUCGAACAGGUGCGCAAGGUGAAAAUUCUCACUUUUACUGAUCCGAUUAUAUUAUUAGACGGAGAUUAAAACUUUUUUAUAACAUUUGCAAGUUUUUUCUUUUCUUCUUUUCUGUCAUCACUGACAUUGAGUGAAUGAUAUGGCCCGUUGGCCCCGUAGUCUCUAGUGGCGUGGCGUACUUUGAUGCGAUAAAGCGAUCGAUUUGUCAUUUAAACGUAUGGGAAAAGAUCCAUAAACAGGCCAGGGUGUCCGCAACGAACACCUAAUCGAUUAUUUACCGUAGCUUCAAUGGUGAAUUAUCGAUGAUCGUACACUCACGCCUCCGCUACUGAUUAUUAUUUCAUCUUGUCCUCAUCGGUGAAACUCUGUUUUAGUUUACUCCUUGAACGAGUUCGACUCUAAUUUUUGGACAAACACAGAAACAUUCAACAUGUUCAAGGAUCGGUGGCAAGUCAUUUUUCCUAAAACAUCGUUUCCUACUGGAACUUUUCCUAAUACUUUUUUCUCACUCGUUUUUUGUCCCAUCACAGUAUAGUCCUAGGAGUAAUAUGUUCUACAUGCUUUUUUUCCUAGGGGCAUUUGUCCUGAAUUAAAUUUUAAAAAACAACAUAGGUACCUCACAAGUUAAAGCUGUGGUCGCAUACCCGCAAGUAGUAGAGCUUCAUCCUCUUCGUUGUAUUGAGAGUAUAGAAGGCUGCUGUCUCCUGUUCACGCGCUUAUAUUCGGCUCGCUGAGGAAAUUUUACACUUUCUGAAACCCCUCUGCUCUACUCAUGUUUAAGUUUCAAUUAUUAUUGGAUUAUUGGGACAACACCUUUAGAAAAAAAGCCAGUGGGACAACCCACUCGUAGGACUUACUGUAAUGGGACAAACAACGAGUAGGAAAAAAGUAUUAGGAAAACUUGAUGUAUAGGAAAAAAAAAUUUAGGAAAAAUGACCUAGCACCCAAGGAUCACCAGUUGAAAAAAAGGACUGCCAAACAGCAGGAUAAAACACUAAAUAAAACACUAUCUUUUCAGUAUAGAAAUAAAUAAAAAUGUAAUACUUUUGAUAAGUAAAAGCUUAAUAAUAUAUAGCUUCUAACUAUAUAAAAGUAAUUAGUUUAGUAAAGUUUUAGACUAAAUAAAAUAAAAUUUG
rnacentral:lncRNA from 1 species